GACGGGACCCGCACAAGCGGUGGAUGAUGUGGUUUAAUUCGAUGCAACGCGAAAACCUUACCCACCUUUGACAUGUACGGAAUCCUUUAGAGAUAGAGGAGUGCUCGAAAGAGAGCCGUAACACAGGUGCUGCAUGGCUGUCGUCAGCUCGUGUCGUGAGAUGUUGGGUUAAGUCCCGCAACGAGCGCAACCCUUGUCAUUAGUUGCUACGAAAGGGCACUCUAAUGAGACUGCCGGUGACAAACCGGAGGAAAGGUGGGGAUGACGUCAAGUCCUCAUGGCCCUUAUAGGUGGGGCUACACACGUCAUACAAUGGCUGGUACAAAGGGUUGCCAACCCGCGAGGGGGAGCCAAUCCCAUAAAGCCAGUCGUAGUCCGGAUCGCAGUCUGCAACUCGACUGCGUGAAGUCGGAAUCGCUAGUAAUCGUGGAUCAGCAUGUCACGGUGAAUACGUUCCCGGGUCUU
rnacentral:rRNA from 1 species